rnacentral:pre_miRNA from 1 species
CCUCCAAAGGGAAGAACUUUCUGUUGUCUAAAAGAAAAGAACGCACUUCCCUUUAGAGUGU